rnacentral:rRNA from 1 species
CCUACGGGAGGCAGCAGUGAGGAAUAUUGGUCAAUGGACGCAAGUCUGAACCAGCCAUGCCGCGUGCAGGAAGACGGCUCUAUGAGUUUUAAACUGCUUUUGUACGAGGGUAAACGCAGAUACGCGUAUCUUUCUGAAUGUACCGUACGAAUAAGGAUCGGCGAACUCCGUGCCAGCAGCCGCGGUAAUACGGAGGAUUCAAGCGUUAUCCGGAUUUAUUGGGGUUAAAGGGUGCGUAGGCGGUCCGAUAAGUUAGAGGUGAAAUCCCGAGGCUCAACUGCGGAAUUGCCUUUGAUACUGGUCGGCUAGAGAGUAGGUGCGGUAGGCAGAAUGUGUGGUGUAGCGGUGAAAGGCUUAGAGAUCAUAAAGAACACCGAUUGCGAAGGCAGCUUACCAGGCUACUACUGACGUUGAGGCACGAAAGCGUGGGGAGCAAACAGGAUUAGAUACCCGUGUAGUC